UCUGUUUUCUUUCUUCUCAUCCUGUUGACGAUUUCCUUGGUUUUCGGCAACUCUAAAUUCGAAAUUCGACUUGAAAAAUGGGAAGCCAUUAAAGGCGACGAGGAAACAUUAAUUGAAUUCAACCUGAAAAUUGUCGGUAGAGAAAGAUCUCUUAAUGGAACUUUAAAGACAUUGACCGUGAUCGACAAAAGCUUGAUGGCCCACGGACGCCUCCAAGCUUUUAAAAACGGUGAUUGGGUUCAAUCGAACCUAAAAGUGGAUAUGAAUGGCUGCGAUUUCUUUCAGUUAUUUGUCAAGCGGUUUUACAAAGACUUUGUGAAACAUUUUCCCGACCCCAUAUGUCCACUGCCUGUGGGCGAAUACUUAGUUAAUAAGACCAUCUUUUCUGCCGAAAAUUGGCCAAAUUAUAUGAUUCCAGGUUUGUUGAAGGCAGAUCUUCUUUUUAAAAAAGAUGAAAAAAUAAUUGGUGGUUUAAGUGCUGUUAUGGAUUUAAUCCUAAAAAACACAUAAAAAAAAACAUGCAAAUUCAGAAUAAAAAUGUUUAAUAUCAGUCUACAAUAAUUAUCCCAAGAGUGUACAAAAUGUUUAAAUUAAAUAGACGAACGAAUAAUGUCAA